GGUUAAGCGACUAAGCGUACACGGUGGAUGCCCUGGCAGUCAGAGGCGAUGAAGGACGUGCUAAUCUGCGAUAAGCGCCGGUAAGGUGAUAUGAACCGUUAUAACCGGCGAUUUCCGAAUGGGGAAACCCAGUGUGACUCGUCACACUAUCAUUAACUGAAUCCAUAGGUUAAUGAGGCGAACCGGGGGAACUGAAACAUCUAAGUACCCCGAGGAAAAGAAAUCAACCGAGAUUCCCCCAGUAGCGGCGAGCGAACGGGGAGGAGCCCAGAGCCUGAAUCAGCAUGUGUGUUAGUGGAAGCGUCUGGAAAGGCGCGCGAUACAGGGUGACAGCCCCGUACACAAAAGCGCAUGUGUUGUGAGCUCGAUGAGUAGGGCGGGACACGUGGUAUCCUGUCUGAAUAUGGGGGGACCAUCCUCCAAGGCUAAAUACUCCUGACUGACCGAUAGUGAACCAGUACCGUGAGGGAAAGGCGAAAAGAACCCCGGCGAGGGGAGUGAAAAAGAACCUGAAACCGUGUACGUACAAGCAGUGGGAGCACCCUUCGGGGUGUGACUGCGUACCUUUUGUAUAAUGGGUCAGCGACUUAUAUUCUGUAGCAAGGUUAACCGAAUAGGGGAGCCGGAGGGAAACCGAGUCUUAACCGGGCGUUAAGUUGCAGGGUAUAGACCCGAAACCCGGUGAUCUAGCCAUGGGCAGGUUGAAGGUUGGGUAACACUAACUGGAGGACCGAACCGACUAAUGUUGAAAAAUUAGCGGAUGACCUGUGGCUGGGGGUGAAAGGCCAAUCAAACCGGGAGAUAGCUGGUUCUCCCCGAAAGCUAUUUAGGUAGCGCCUCGUGAAUUCAUCUCCGGGGGUAGAGCACUGUUUCGGCUAGGGGGCCAUCCCGGCUUACCAACCCGAUGCAAACUGCGAAUACCGGAGAAUGUUAUCACGGGAGACACACGGCGGGUGCUAACGUCCGUCGUGAAGAGGGAAACAACCCAGACCGCCAGCUAAGGUCCCAAAGUCAUGGUUAAGUGGGAAACGAUGUGGGAAGGCCCAGACAGCCAGGAUGUUGGCUUAGAAGCAGCCAUCAUUUAAAGAAAGCGUAAUAGCUCACUGGUCGAGUCGGCCUGCGCGGAAGAUGUAACGGGGCUAAACCAUGCACCGAAGCUGCGGCAGCGACACUGUGUGUUGUUGGGUAGGGGAGCGUUCUGUAAGCCUGUGAAGGUGUGUCGUGAGGCAUGCUGGAGGUAUCAGAAGUGCGAAUGCUGACAUAAGUAACGAUAAAGCGGGUGAAAAGCCCGCUCGCCGGAAGACCAAGGGUUCCUGUCCAACGUUAAUCGGGGCAGGGUGAGUCGACCCCUAAGGCGAGGCCGAAAGGCGUAGUCGAUGGGAAACGGGUUAAUAUUCCCGUACUUGGUGUUACUGCGAAGGGGGGACGGAGAAGGCUAUGUUGGCCGGGCGACGGUUGUCCCGGUUUAAGCGUGUAGGUGUGUGUUCCAGGUAAAUCCGGUUCACUUUAACACUGAGGCGUGAUGACGAGGCACUACGGUGCUGAAGCAACAAAUGCCCUGCUUCCAGGAAAAGCCUCUAAGCAUCAGGUAACAUCAAAUCGUACCCCAAACCGACACAGGUGGUCAGGUAGAGAAUACCAAGGCGCUUGAGAGAACUCGGGUGAAGGAACUAGGCAAAAUGGUGCCGUAACUUCGGGAGAAGGCACGCUGACACGUAGGUGAAGUGAUUUACUCAUGGAGCUGAAGUCAGUCGAAGAUACCAGCUGGCUGCAACUGUUUAUUAAAAACACAGCACUGUGCAAACACGAAAGUGGACGUAUACGGUGUGACGCCUGCCCGGUGCCGGAAGGUUAAUUGAUGGGGUCAGCGCAAGCGAAGCUCCUGAUCGAAGCCCCGGUAAACGGCGGCCGUAACUAUAACGGUCCUAAGGUAGCGAAAUUCCUUGUCGGGUAAGUUCCGACCUGCACGAAUGGCGUAAUGAUGGCCAGGCUGUCUCCACCCGAGACUCAGUGAAAUUGAACUCGCUGUGAAGAUGCAGUGUACCCGCGGCAAGACGGAAAGACCCCGUGAACCUUUACUAUAGCUUGACACUGAACAUUGAGCCUUGAUGUGUAGGAUAGGUGGGAGGCUUUGAAGUGUGGACGCCAGUCUGCAUGGAGCCGACCUUGAAAUACCACCCUUUAAUGUUUGAUGUUCUAACGUGGACCCGUGAUCCGGGUUGCGGACAGUGUCUGGUGGGUAGUUUGACUGGGGCGGUCUCCUCCUAAAGAGUAACGGAGGAGCACGAAGGUUGGCUAAUCCUGGUCGGACAUCAGGAGGUUAGUGCAAUGGCAUAAGCCAGCUUGACUGCGAGCGUGACGGCGCGAGCAGGUGCGAAAGCAGGUCAUAGUGAUCCGGUGGUUCUGAAUGGAAGGGCCAUCGCUCAACGGAUAAAAGGUACUCCGGGGAUAACAGGCUGAUACCGCCCAAGAGUUCAUAUCGACGGCGGUGUUUGGCACCUCGAUGUCGGCUCAUCACAUCCUGGGGCUGAAGUAGGUCCCAAGGGUAUGGCUGUUCGCCAUUUAAAGUGGUACGCGAGCUGGGUUUAGAACGUCGUGAGACAGUUCGGUCCCUAUCUGCCGUGGGCGCUGGAGAACUGAGGGGGGCUGCUCCUAGUACGAGAGGACCGGAGUGGACGCAUCACUGGUGUUCGGGUUGUCAUGCCAAUGGCACUGCCCGGUAGCUAAAUGCGGAAGAGAUAAGUGCUGAAAGCAUCUAAGCACGAAACUUGCCCCGAGAUGAGUUCUCCCUGAGACUUAGAGUCUCCUGAAGGAACGUUGAAGACGACGACGUUGAUAGGCCGGGUGUGUAAGCGCAGCGAUGCGUUGAGCUAACCGGUACUAAUGAACCGUGAGGCUUAACCUU
rnacentral:rRNA from 1 species